rnacentral:ncRNA from 2 species
UUCUUAUCUAGAGAUGUGGAGGGACUUGGCCCUAUGAUACCUCGGCAGCAGAUUUUUACGUUUGUAAAAACACUGUGCUAAUUCCAACAGAUUAAUUCUGAAAGAUAAGAA